AUCACCAAGACCUGAAAACCUCCACUGACUGGCUUCCCUACAGACUGAGAAUAUGGAAAAGCUUAUAAAUCACAGCUGUGCAUUGUCCAAUCAACAUUCAACAGUGAUUCUUUUGAAAGUGACUGUGAAGAUCUGAAACUCUCAAGGAAACACAGAGAAAUAGAUUACCAGCCACUCCAAAAGGUCGCCGCAACCCCGAGGUAAUCCUGAACUGGACCAGCGAACCAGGCACCAUUCUAAAUGAUGUAUUCCAGCCAAUCAUCUUGCAGAAAAAACAAGACAAAACUCACAGAAAUGGCAUUCAUAGAAACCAAAUUUUGAAAAAUGGAAAUAGUGAUAUUUGAGGGACCAGGAUAUAUAAAAUCUUACGAAGACAACUUAGGAAACAAAGUAUUACUUCAAUCUUCAGCUACACUCUUAAGAUACGGCCAGAGUGUACCUGCAACUGCUAUAACUCUACGAGCAAAUAGCAAUCUACACGCAAGAAGGUUCACCCUGACCCAGAGCCCAACCUGGCUGCCAUCACACUGUCUAAGACAGCUCUUGACUCGGCUGCUUGCUCGUGUCCAGCAGCCAUUCAUCCAAGGCCUCUCAGCAUGAAUGGGACGCUUCAGUGGUUCUGAUCCCAAGUUCCUAACACUAACCAAAGAGGAAAGACGGCAGCCAAGAAAUGUCACCCACCUGAUGAAUUUGGACUCCACAGGGUCAUAUAGAGACAUGAGGACUUCAGCAUCUUCUCCUAUUUUACAAACCACAUUUUUGAGGUUCACAAACAAGGCCAGAGAAGGGGUUGCAGCAAACUUGGCUUGUCUGUUAAUAUCUAUGUUCUGCUUUUGAGACUGUGUAUGGAAGGAAACAGAAAGUCAACCCCAGCAACACUCAUCACUGACACUUGCUUUCUUUAUUCCCUACAGAAUAGAAAAUUGUAAUAACUCAUUGGCAUAACCCAGCAAAGGCCUUGGUGCAGUCACUUUCUUAUCUCCCCUGCACAUUCUUAAAUCAUGCAUUCACACAACAGACAAAAAAUUGUAUCCUGUGCAACUGCUGUGCUGAGUAUUUUCAGAGAUACAAAACUUUCAGGUGUCCAUCCAAUAAAUCAAAAUAAUGAUUAUA
ensembl:lncRNA novel transcript